rnacentral:rRNA from 1 species
UACGGGGGGGGCAAGCGUUGUUCGGAAUUACUGGGCGUAAAGGGCUCGUAGGCGGCCAACUAAGUCAGACGUGAAAUCCCUCGGCUUAACCGGGGAACUGCGUCUGAUACUGGAUGGCUUGAGAUUGGGAGAGGGAUGCGGAAUUCACGGUGUAGCAGUGAAAUGCGUAGAUAUCGUGAGGAACACCAGAGGCGAAGGCGGCUACCUGGACAAUUGCUGACGCUCAGGCACGAAAGCGUGGGGAGCAAAAGGG